AACACAUGCAAGUCGAACGGAAACGAUGGAAGCUUGCUUCCAGGCGUCGAGCGGCGGACGGGUGAGUAAUACUUAGGAAUCUACCCAGUAGCGGGGGACAACUCGAGGAAACUCGAGCUAAUACCGCAUACGCCCUACGGGGGAAAGCGGAGGACCUUUCGGGGCUUCGCGCUAAUGGAUGAGCCUAAGUCGGAUUAGCUUGUUGGUGAGGUAAAGGCUCACCAAGGCGACGAUCCGUAGCUGGUCUGAGAGGACGAUCAGCCACACUGGGACUGAGACACGGCCCAGACUCCUACGGGAGGCAGCAGUGGGGAAUAUUGGACAAUGGGGGCAACCCUGAUCCAGCAAUGCCGCGUGUGUGAAGAAGGCCUGCGGGUUGUAAAGCACUUUCAGUAGAGAAGAAAAGCCUACGGUUAAUACCCGUGAGUCUUGACGUUACCUAC
rnacentral:rRNA from 1 species